UUUCUUACACAGAGAUAAAGUUUAUCACAAUGAACCAUUUUAUUUGUUUAGAAGUUUUUGCACUCAUUUUCCUUCUCAGAGGAACUGCUUCCGAACUAACAAGUCCUGAUGUUAGUAAUUCAACUAAGAAUAACACAAAGGAUUCUCCAAAAGUUUUUUCGGACAGAGCUGACAGUGUAUUUUUCAUUGACAAACCUGUCUUACGGAAACCAGUCCGCAUGCGCAGGAUUAAGCUCAUACCCCCCAGAGCUAGGUGAAGGCUUAGAACAUGACUACAUGAGAAUCACAUUUCCUUGUUCAAGAUUGAUUGUGGUUAAAUUAAAAAAAUACAUGUACAUAUUUAAUUUUACUUUUAUCAAGCUUAAGAAUGUAUGAAUUUUUUUUUUAAUCUGAUUCGAUAUUAAGUUGUAAAUUGUCAAUAACUUAUAUAACACAUGUAUAUGUCUACUUUAUGCAUGAAAAUAAUAGCAAUCAAAUGAUUAAAUCUUCCUUAUGGUG